rnacentral:tRNA from 1 species
GGGGAUGUGGCGGAAUGGUAGACGCAGCGGACUUAAAAUCCGCCGAGUGAUAAGCUUGUAGGGGUUCGACUCCCCUCAUCCCCA